AACGAGCGCAGGUGUUGCCAAUCAACCGCACCACUCCUCUUCCUCCUCUUUCUAUUGGCGGUUAAGGUCGCUCUCCUUACUUUCUAAAGGAAAAGGUGACAUCCGGUUGGAUUUUAAAAUGCCCACUUUCACAGCCAGAGGAGAGUGAAAGGUCAAGCAAGACAGAAGUAGUGAAAGAGGAAGAUAUUGCUCCACUGAAACAGGGAGGUUAAUGGAAACUGUGAGACAGAAGUAGACAGAGGAUGAAGAAAGAGAAGCAGAGAUGGAGUUAAAACCCUCAGAGAGGAAACAGGAGAUGGAGAUAGGAAGGGGUGAGAGACCACACCCACACCUACUUCACCAACGCACCCAACUGACCCCACCCAUGUCCUGCAAUUACACCUCACAUAUGACAAAGUAUUGAUUGAAAUAAAACCACCUAUGUGUA